rnacentral:rRNA from 1 species
UACGUAGGGGGCAAGCGUUGUCCGGAUUUAUUGGGCGUAAAGAGCGUGUAGGCGGCCAGGUAGGUCGGUUGUGAAAACUGGAGGCUCAACCUCCAGACGUCGACCGAAACCAUCUGGCUAGAGUCCGGAAGAGGAGAGUGGAAUUCCUGGUGUAGCGGUGAAAUGCGCAGAUAUCAGGAAGAACACCCGUGGCGAAAGCGGCUCUCUGGGACGGUACUGACGCUGAGGAGCGAAAGCGUGGGGAGCGAACAGG